UACGUAGGGUGCGAGCGUUGUCCGGAAUUAUUGGGCGUAAAGAGCUCGUAGGCGGUUUGUUGCGUCGGCUGUGAAAUCCCGAGGCUCAACCUCGGGUCUGCAGUCGAUACGAGCAAACUAGAGUGUUGCAGGGGAGACUGGAAUUCCCGGUGUAGUGGUGAAAUGCGUAGAGAUCGGGAGGAACACCAGUGGCGAAGGCGGCCCUCUGGGCCGGGCCUGACGCUGAGACGCGAGGGCGUGGGGAGCGAACGGG
rnacentral:rRNA from 1 species